rnacentral:lncRNA from 1 species
AUGAGCAGAAURCGCAGAUCAGGCAAGUCAGUGAUGUUCAGCUCUACCAAAAGCAAUUGCAAUUCAACAUCGGUGAACGUGUCCUCAAAGCGAAACACAGAAUCCGCCAGCGAUCCGUUAAGCAUGUGCAUGAUGAGGCAAAAGCGUUCAUCACUAAAAGCAGGUUUCUUUUCCCUCUUUCCAGGUGAACUCACUGCAGAGCUCAGGGAACGUGAUGCCAGAAUUGGUACGUGUCCAUCUCCUCCCUUUGAGGACAGCAAAUCUGAGGCACAUUUGCAGGCAAUGUGUCAUUUCAUCAUUAUUAUUGCUUUUAAAAUUAAAGUCAUGAUUUCAUGCACUGAAUUCCACGGAUUUCAACUGGAAUUUUUCAAGACUACUCUGAAAAAGAUAUCUAAAAUAAAACUAGAGUAUUGUAUUAUAAAUAACACACCUGUUAAGCAUAUAUGCUUGAGUAAGAGGACGUUAAUGAAAAUCACUUUUUUCUCUUUUAAGAUGACCUCUCUGCAGCAAUUGGUAAGUAUGUUUCCUGCCUUCCAGCAAAGCAAAUACAUAGUUUAG